CACGUAGGGACCAAGCGUUGUCCGGAUUUAUUGGGCGUAAAGAGCUCGUAGGCGGUUAUCCACGUCGGAUGUGAAAGCUCAGGGCUCAACCCUGAGAUGCCAUUCGAUACGGGAUAGCUAGAGGUAGGUAGGGGAAAGUGGAAUUCCUGGUGUAGCGGUGAAAUGCGCAGAUAUCAGGAGGAACACCGGUGGCGAAGGCGGCUUUCUGGGCCUUACCUGACGCUGAGGAGCGAAAGCUGGGGGAGCGAACAGG
rnacentral:rRNA from 1 species